rnacentral:tRNA from 1 species
GGAAUAGUACUUUAACUAGAAGGCCUGAUUUGCACUCAGGUAGAGGUCUUUAACCCUAAUCCA